GAAAUGCGAUAAGUAGUGUGAAUUGCAGAAUUCAGUGAAUCAUCGAAUCUUUGAACGCACAUUGCGCCCCUUGGUAUUCCAUGGGGCAUGCCUGUUCGAGCGUCAUUUGUACCCUCAAGCUCUGCUUGGUGUUGGGUGUUUGUCCCCGUCUCCGCGCGUGGACUCGCCCCAAAGUGAUUGGCAGCCGGCGUACUGGUGCCGGAGCGCAGCACAUGUCGCGCAAACGAGUGCCUUGGUACGGCGGCGUCCAUAAGCCCCUCUCUCACGCUCUUGACCUCGGAUCAGGUAGGGAUACCCGCUGAACUUAAGC
rnacentral:misc_RNA from 1 species